GAUGAACGCUGGCGGCGUGCCUAAUACAUGCAAGUCGAGCGAACAGAUGAGGAGCUUGCUCCUCUGACGUUAGCGGCGGACGGGUGAGUAACACGUGGAUACCCUACCUAUCAGACUGGGAUAACUUCGGGACACCGGAGCUAAUACCGGAUAAUAUCUUGAACCACAUGGUUCAAUAGUGAAAGACGGCUUUGCUGUCACUUAUCGAUGGAUCCGCGCCGCAUUAGCUAGUUGGUAAGGUAACGGCUUACCAAGGCAACGAUGCGUAGCCGACCUGAGAGGGGGAUCGGCCACACUGGAAGUGAGACACGGUCCAUACUCCUAAGGGAGGCAGCAGUAGGGAAUCUUCCGCAAUGGGCGAAAGCCUGACGGAGCAACGCCGCGUGAGUGAUGAAGGUCUUCGGAUCGUAAAACUCUGUUAUUAGUGAAGAACAAAUGUGUAAGUAACUAUGCAGGUCUUGACGGUACCUAAUAAGAAAGCCACGGCUAACUACGUG
rnacentral:rRNA from 1 species